GCUUGCACUGAAUGAGAUUUUAACACGAAGUGAGUGGCGGACGGGUGAGUAACACGUGGGUAACCUGCCCAGAAGCAGGGGAUAACACCUGGAAACAGAUGCUAAUACCGUAUAACAGAGAAAACCGCCUGGUUUUCUUUUAAAAGAUGGCUCUGCUAUCACUUCUGGAUGGACCCGCGGCGCAUUAGCUAGUUGGUGAGGUAACGGCUCACCAAGGCGAUGAUGCGUAGCCGACCUGAGAGGGUAAUCGGCCACAUUGGGACUGAGACACGGCCCAGACUCCUACGGGAGGCAGCAGUAGGGAAUCUUCCACAAUGGACGCAAGUCUGAUGGAGCAACGCCGCGUGAGUGAAGAAGGGUUUCGGCUCGUAAAGCUCUGUUGUUAAAGAAGAACGUGGGUGAGAGUAACUGUUCACCCAGUGACGGUAUUUAACCAGAAAGCCACGGCUAACUACGUGCCAGCAGCCGCGGUAAUACGUAGGUGGCAAGCGUUAUCCGGAUUUAUUGGGCGUAAAGCGAGCGCAGGCGGUCUUUUAAGUCUAAUGUGAAAGCCUUCGGCUCAACCGAAGAAGUGCAUUGGAAACUGGGAGACUUGAGUGCAGAAGAGGACAGUGGAACUCCAUGUGUAGCGGUGAAAUGCGUAGAUAUAUGGAAGAACACCAGUGGCGAAGGCGGCUGUCUGGUCUGUAACUGACGCUGAGGCUCGAAAGCAUGGGUAGCGAACAGGAUUAGAUACCCUGGUAGUCCAUGCCGUAAACGAUGAUUACUAAGUGUUGGAGGGUUUCCGCCCUUCAGUGCUGCAGCUAACGCAUUAAGUAAUCCGCCUGGGGAGUACGACCGCAAGGUUGAAACUCAAAAGAAUUGACGGGGGCCCGCACAAGCGGUGGAGCAUGUGGUUUAAUUCGAAGCUACGCGAAGAACCUUACCAGGUCUUGACAUCUUCUGCCAACCUAAGAGAUUAGGCGUUCCCUUCGGGGACAGAAUGACAGGUGGUGCAUGGUUGUCGUCAGCUCGUGUCGUGAGAUGUUGGGUUAAGUCCCGCAACGAGCGCAACCCUUAUUACUAGUUGCCAGCAUUCAGUUGGGCACUCUAGUGAGACUGCCGGUGACAAACCGGAGGAAGGUGGGGACGACGUCAAAUCAUCAUGCCCCUUAUGACCUGGGCUACACACGUGCUACAAUGGAUGGUACAACGAGUUGCGAAACCGCGAGGUUUAGCUAAUCUCUUAAAACCAUUCUCAGUUCGGACUGUAGGCUGCAACUCGCCUACACGAAGUCGGAAUCGCUAGUAAUCGCGGAUCAGCAUGCCGCGGUGAAUACGUUCCCGGGCCUUGUACACACCGCCCGUCACACCA
rnacentral:rRNA from 1 species